rnacentral:rRNA from 1 species
UCUAGAGUNUCGGAGAGGAAAGUGGAAUUCCUAGNGUAGCGGUGAAAUGCGUAGAUAUUAGGAAGAACACCAGUGGCGAAGGCGACUUUCUGGACGAAAACUGACGCUGAGGCGCGAAAGCCAGGGGAGCGAACGGGAUUAGAUACCCCGGUAGUCCUGGCCGUAAACGAUGGGUACUAGGUGUAGGAGGUAUCGACCCCUUCUGUGCCGGAGUUAACGCAAUAAGUACCCCGCCUGGGGAGUACGACCGCAAGGUUGAAACUCAAAGGAAUUGACGGGGGCCCGCACAAGCGGUGGAGUAUGUGGUUUAAUUCGACGCAACACGAAGAACCUUACCAGGUCUUGACAUUGAUGGACAGAACUAGAGAUAGUUCCUCUUCUUCGGAAGCCAGAAAACAGGUGGUGCACGGUUGUCGUCAGCUCGUGUCGUGAGAUGUUGGGUUAANNCCCGCAACGAGCGCAACCCCUAUCUUAUGUUGCCAGCACUUCGGGUGGGAACUCAUGAGAGACUGCCGCAGACAAUGCGGAGGAAGGCGGGGAUGACGUCAAAUCAUCAUGCCCCUUAUGACCUGGGCUACACACGUACUACAAUGGGAGUUAAUAGACGGAAGCGAAACCGCGAGGUGGAGCAAACCCGAGAAACACUCUCAGUUCGGAUCGUAGGCUGCAACUCGCCUACGUGAAGUCGGAAUCGCUAGUAAUCGCAGGUCAGCAUACUGCGGUGAAUACGUUCCCGGGCCUUGUNCAC